AUGACUUUCAUCCCCAUCUUCAUCUGGACUCUGGUCUGUUACGCACAAGGGUCUUGGGGCCAGUAUGUAUCAACUCAGUCUGCAGCUCAAUCAGUCCAGCCUGGUCAAAUCACUCAGUACACUGGCUCACAGUAUUACCUGGCCUGGUACCAUCAGACGUCUGGAGAAGCUCCUAAACUCCUGAUCUAUUACACAUCAGACAGGUUCACAGGAGAUUCCACCUGGUUCAGUGGCAGUGGGAGAGGAAAUGGUGUUGACUUCACUCUGACCAUCAGUGAUGUCCAGGCUGAGGAUACAGGAGUUUACUACUGUCAGAGUCACCACAGUGGUCCUGUGUUCACACAGUGA